UACGGGGGGAGCAAGCGUUGUUCGGAUUUACUGGGCGUAAAGGGCGCGUAGGCGGCCACCGCAAGUCGACUGUGAAAUCUCCGGGCUUAACCCGGAAAGGUCAGCCGAUACUGCGGGGCUAGAGUGCAGAAGGGGCAACUGGAAUUCUCGGUGUAGCGGUGAAAUGCGUAGAUAUCGGAAGGAACACCAGUGGCGAAAGCGGCUUCCUGGUCCAGCACCGACGUUCAGGCACGAAAGCGUGGGGAGCAAACAGG
rnacentral:rRNA from 1 species